GAUAGCCAGCAUAUGGAGAUGCCUUGAACAACCCACUGUCGUGUUGCUGUCUCAGAGCUGGAAAAGACACACACACAGACACACAGACACAGUUAACUUUAGCAAUUGCUGACCCACUCCCUCCUCUGAGCUGGGGGAUAGACUGGGGUCAACAGUGCUCAUUGAAUUGAGAGAGGGGAGGGGGGCGGGGGGAUAGGAUGAGGGAGAAAGGAGGGUUUUGGUUGUUUCUUGUAAGGGGUGUAAAAUGACCUCAUUUCAACAAAGCUUAUUUAAAUGAAUAGGGAGAUAGAGACUGGGAGGCAAAAAGAGAUAGGAAAGAAUGCAUAGGAGAACAAGAGAAAAUGGGGGAGCAUUCAUAAAGGAUCAGUGAGGGCUACAGUUAUAGUUUUACUAUGAGUUUGUAAAGUUUUAGUUACCUUCUGCAAAGAACUCUCUCUGCCUGACAUAGCUCUCCCAAUCUGGUCUGUGCUGCUGGGGACGUCUGUGACUGCCUGCCUGCUGACAAACAUUGUUUGUAAAACAACACAUUACAUUGGUAGCUAGAAGACAACGGGAAUCUGCAGAGCCCCUUUCUGUCUCAGAAGUCCACUGAGAGAGAGACGCCAAUCGAACCACAGUCCCCAAAAUCCCCUGCUCCACUUCUCCGAGAAGCCCCUGCUCCUCUGCUCCCAGAAACCCCUGAUCCUCUGCUCUCAGGGCCCGAGGCACCGACAGCUCUGCUCUCACUUGUCCAACACACAGCCUGAGUCACCAGCUGCCCGCCCUCACCUGUCCAACAAACAGCUGGCCGGAGGUCUUCUUCAUCUCUCCGAGCCAACUGUUGCCACCCUGGUUCCGGGUACAGAGGCGCCCAUUGGCCCAGACGAGGUGUACGAGCCCCUGCCAUUGGCUGAGACAAAUGCGAACAUUUAUGAGGGUGGUGGAGCAGGGAGAGGAGGCCAGUGGACAGAAUUUGCGUACUAGGGCCCUGUAUGACUACCAAGCCACUGACGACUCUAAGAUCACCUUUGAUUCAGAUGACAUCAUCACAGGGAUCGAUAUGGUGGACGAGGAUUGGUGGGGAGGCCACAGACCGUACGGACACUACAGAAUGUUCCCGGCCAAUUACGUUGAGCUCCUGUUGUUCGAAAGCCCCCACAUGCCUAUACACCCAAGCAGAGCAUCAUUUGGAUCAUUCUGGGACCCGUGUUAAGAUUUAUAGGGGGAGAGUGGAGAGACCUCAGGGAAAGAAACUGACUUGAUUACUGCAUCUUAAUUAACCCAGGGAUAAUGUCAGUUUAUUAGUCUUUGUCGGGUUUUAGUCAGGUCUCAGACCAGUAGGCUCUAACUCAUGGUCUUCUACGCAAUCAGGGGGAUGUUUUGUGAUUUACUAUCUGUCUUGUCAGACUUUUGAUUUUGAUUGAACUUGUAAAUCAAAUAAAGAUGGUUGCGUGUCCAAUUGUUAACAUUUGCUUAAUCUUUUCUAGUAUUUGAAGCAUAGUCAAGUCUAGAUUAUUUAUGGUCUUCCCUCGACUACGAAAUGUGGGUAAAUGUAUUUGGGCUCAUCUGAUUAUUAGCAGAGGAACAGUGCCAUACCACCAUCUUUGGCAUUAGCCAUGUCAUGUAGAAUACUGAAUGUACUGCAAUGUUUUCUUAGUAGUUUAGUGUAAACAGAAAGCUGGAGCUAAUUAGUUGGCAUGAUGAAGUACUGUAUAUGUAUAGCCUACCUUUUCAGGUACAGUCAACCACCAGAGCCACAAAUGGAGCAGUUAUACAAAUCUUUGCCAGAGCCUUGAAUCCAUGGCAUUGUUCGAGAGCAUUAAAACCAUGAUGCGUCAUGGGUAAAUUGUGACUGAUUGACAUCUGCAAAUCAUAUUAUUUGUGGCAAUGGUGGUCAAUGGCACGGCUAAGGUGGAGAAGAGGUCCAGAAGGAUGGAAGUUAUUGUGGUCUUGUAGCCCAUUCCAGCC